rnacentral:rRNA from 1 species
GACGUAGGGGGCGAGCGUUGUCCGGAUUUAUUGGGCGUAAAGAGCUCGUAGGCGGCUCAGAAAGUCGGGUGUGAAACCUCCAGGCUCAACCUGGAGACGCCACCUGAUACUGCUGUGGCUAGAGUCCGGUAGGGGAACACGGAAUACCCGGUGUAGCGGUGAAAUGCUUAGAUAUCGGGUGGAACACCAGUGGCGAAGGCGGUGUUCUGGGCCGGAACUGACGCUGAGGAGCGAAAGCGUGGGUAGCAAACAGG